AUUGAAACCAACAAAAGAACCCUCUCCUCACCCUCCCCGACAGCAGGGAGCCAGUGUUUGGUGGGAACAAGGCGCUGCAACAUGGCGGACAUGUUCCAUCUGUAGAUAAAAGGUUCAUUCUGAGAUCCUCCUAAAUCCUUCAAGCAACAUGACAUGUUGCAGGAAAAAGACAACAACACUAAGUUUCUUUACAUUUUAUCUGGUCUUUGCUUUUACCUCAGAAGUUGAAUGAAAAUAUUUUGUUCACAGCACCAGCCUGGUUCCAAUCUCUAAAACUGGUGUAAGGGAUUUUAAAAUGACACAGCUGAUGCGAGUGUAGAUGUUACAGUCCUCGUCGUCACUGCCUCAUCUUUGCGGGAAUCACGUAUGCAGCUUCCACACCAAACGCCUGGCCGCCGGCUUCACGACUCAAGCGCUGUCCUCGCUGACGCCUCCGCUGUGUUUUUUUUUUUUAAAAAGCGACAGAGAAUUCCCUGAACGUCAUCGGUGGCAUGUAACUCACACAUAACACUGAGAGAGACACAUACAUUCAGCCCUGCAGCACAGCUCAUGACUUAUUCUCUCUAACAUGAUGAAAAAAGAGGCCGGGAAGGCGGCUGGAAAUGCUGAUGAAAAGACAAAACACUAUAC